rnacentral:rRNA from 1 species
UUGGUAGCGUAAUAACCAGCCUUCUAAUUAGAGGCCAGUGAAAGGCAACACACGGGAACACCUGUAUCUAAUGUGCUAAAAGAACUUUAUCUUUGAGUGAAAAAGCUCAACUAAUCAAAAAAGACGAAAAGACCCCGCGGAGCUUUACUCAAAAGUUACAGACCAUAUAAAAUCAACACCAAGAGUUUGGUUGGGGCAACCUUGGAACAAACAAUCUUCCAAUCAAUUCUCUACAACAAUAUACAAAACCUUUACGGACUAAAAAGAAGCUACCCCGGGGAUAACAGCGUAAUCCAACUAAAA